AGAGUUUGAUCCUGGCUCAGGAUGAACGCUGGCGGUGCGCCUAAUGCAUGCAAGUCGAGCGACGCACACUCAGUCCGUAAGGACAGGGUAUGACGGAGCGGCGAACGGGUGAGUAACACGUGAGCAACCUGCCCCACAGAUCGGGAUAGCCCAGGGAAACCUGGAUUAAUACCGGAUAUUCUCCUUGGACCACAUGGUCCGUUGAGGAAAUGCCUUUGUGCUGUGGGAUGGGCUCGCGACUUAUCAGUUAGUUGGUGGGGUAACGGCCUACCAAGACAAUGACGAGUAGCUGGUCUGAGAGGACGAUCAGCCACACUGGAACUGAGACACGGUCCAGACUCCUACGGGAGGCAGCAGCAGGGAAUCUUGCGCAAUGGACGAAAGUCUGACGCAGCGACACCGCGUGGGGGAUGAAGGCCUUCGGGUUGUAAACCCCUUUUAGGAGGGAAGAAAUUGACGGUACCUCCAGAAAAAGGACCGGCCAACUACGUGCCAGCAGCCGCGGUAAUACGUAGGGUCCGAGCGUUAUCCGGAAUCAUUGGGCGUAAAGAGCUCGUAAGCGGUUCAGCAAGUCGGCUGUGAAAGCUCGAGGCUCAACCUCGAAAUUGCAGUCGAUACUGCUGUGACUUGAAUUCGGCAGAGGAGAAUGGAAUUCCCGGUGUAGCGGUGAAAUGCGCAGAUAUCCGGAGGAACACCAGU
rnacentral:rRNA from 1 species